AGAAAUAUUUAUAAAUAAGCUUCUAACUUAAUUUUUAGCGAUAAAUUCGUUAUAUUUCUA
rnacentral:tRNA from 1 species